rnacentral:rRNA from 1 species
UACGAGGGGGGCGAGCGUUGUUCGGAUUUACUGGGCGUAAAGGGCGCGUAGGCGGCCCUCCUAGUCGCGUGUGAAAGCCCCGGGCUCAACCUGGAGAUGCCACUCGAGACUGCUAUGGCUAGAGUCCGGUAGGGGACCACGGAAUUCCUGGUGUAGCGGUGAAAUGCGCAGAUAUCAGGAGGAACACCGGUGGCGAAGGCGGUGGUCUGGGCCGGCACUGACGCUGAGGAGGGAAAGCGUGGGGAGCAAACAGG